GGUGGAUGAAGAAGACAAAGAGAUUGAGAGGUUUGAGUCUAGUCAUAAUAGAGGCCAGAACAAUAACAAUCUGAGUAAUGGUUGUCGAUGUUUUAUACCGGCAACCUACCAAAGGAGUACCAGAGGUUGUCGAUUUGUUGGUGGGGGAUCGCCGGACCUAGAACUCAAAGGUAAAAGCGAGGACACAAGACACAGAUUUAUACAGGUUUGGGCUGCCGGAGUAGCGUAAUACCCUACGUCCUAUUUGGGGUGUUGUAUAUUGUGCCCUACGCUUGGGUGUUGUGGUAUGAGGAUUUGGUCCUUUGUUCUGAGUUGAGGUGCCGAUCUAGGUACCCCUACCCUCCUUUAUAUACUCCAGGGGGCAUGAUUACUAGUCGGUUACAAGGAGGAGUCCUAGUAGGAUUACAUGGUAUGAGUCCUAGUAGGAUUAUGGUGGAAUCUUAGUAGGAGUCCACCUUCUUCCUUCCUUUCAGAUACUGGGGAUCUAUCCCUGACAAUGGCCAACGCAAUGACAAGAACCGUAAUGAUUGACCCAAUAAUGACAACCGAGGCAACUACUCGGGUGGUCAAAAUCACAAGAGGAAGGCAGACAAUAUUGUUGCG
rnacentral:lncRNA from 1 species